rnacentral:tRNA from 1 species
GAGUUUGUUAAGAAACAGCGAGAACUGCUAAUUACUCGCCACCAUGGUUCAACUCCACGGCUUACUCA